GUGCUCACUUGGCAGCACAUACACUAAAACUGGAAAGAUACAGAGAAAAUUAGCAUGGCCCCCAUGCAGCGAUGACACACAAAUUAGUGAAGCAUUCUAUAAUUUU